GCGGGCGUAGCUUAAUGGUAAAGCUCCAGCCUUCCAAGCUGGUCAUGUGAGUUCGAUUCUCAUCGCCCGCU
rnacentral:tRNA from 2 species